ensembl:lncRNA
CUUUAGAAAAAAAGUGCCCUGAUGCUCGCCAAAAAUCUGUGCAGGAGUUAUUCCUAAUGCUUUUUCCCCCUUAGCAAUAUGAAUGCAGAUUUGGAAGCUCUUUCUCUUUUGGAGUGAGCAGGGUAAUUUAACGAGCUGUUUAGAAUUAUCAAAUGUCUUUGAAAUUUCCAAAUAUUCUAUUCCUGAAAAUAGCACAUGAAGUGGCUCAGGUAUUACUUUCUCCUCCUCCCCCAGGCACUGUCUGCGAUGUGAUUUACUUCGGCUCUCCCAAACAGACAAGUGUCUGAAGGAUGCGGGGACACGGCCAGCACACUAACGGCCCCCGCUUCCCUGAAACACAGGGCACUCAUCACUCACCGGAGUUCCUCCUGAUGAGGAAAAUGUAUGCAAUUCGGGUCCUGCAACCCGACUGCGGUAAACUAACCAGCACCCAGAACUCUCCACCCAGCAGUCAGAGAGAACCACGUCUGCAAUUUUUCUGAGUUUCUCACCUAUGACAUCAGAGAGUUUGGCUUUCCUACAUCCCCCAAGCUUGUCAGAAGGAUCACAUGGCAAGCCAAGCAAAGGGUUGUCAAAUCUGAGAGGAGGGAUUCCGACAUCUUCUGAUAUCGCUGUUGGACUUGACCUACUUCAUUUCAUGUCUCUGUUGGACUUCAGGAAGCAUACAGGCGGCUGGGUUGCCGCUGCAAUGCAACGUGGGGGAUGAGCUUAUUUCUGGGCAAGCGAGAGAGAAGGGUUGGUGAACCUUUCUCCCAGGACCAGACAUGUGCCUGAAGAGCCUGGAACCAGUCCUGGGGAAGCGUGACAAAUCGCUUCCCUGCCGUGGUACAAACCCGUUCCUCCAGGAGCAGUCGCGUCCUCUUCUCCACCAUGGAAAACCAUCAAAGUCUUUUUUGACAUCCAUGACAUGAAAUAGUGAAAACAGUGCCGAAAGAUGCUGUCUUGUACCUAAUGACCUUGUGCUGAGAGGGGAACAGAAACAGCUCAUUAGAGUGAUUUAAUGUGGUAUUUUGUUAAAACUAAAUCAAAAUAAUCUAUGGAAUGUGGCUGAGAUGCAUCCGAACUUGAAACACACAAGACUGCGCUUUAUCUCUUUGUUUUCAUUUUGCAGCUAAGUGGAAUUCUAAAUUUGAAAUACUACAGAACAGGAUGCUUUCCAAAUUAAAAAAAAAAAAUUUCCAAAACAGGCUCACGAUCUUGGGAUAGCUGCAAAGCAGGAAGUAAACAAGACUUGGCUCUGUAUUUGAAGCCACAGUACAAACAGAACCAAAAAGAUAGAAAGAAAGAAAGAAAAAGACACGUAUAAAUAUAUGUAUGAAAUGGGGGAGAGGAAAGGAAGAUUAUUUCAGAAAUAAUACCCAGAAAAAUAGUUCAGUAAUUCUCACAAACUCAAAUUAACUCAGUCUUCAGUGUGGUUAUCUAUUGUUUUCUUUAGGAAGGGAUUUUAUUGUGCUGUUUCCCUCAACUCUUCAGAAGGAAAAAGCUUAGAGCUGCACUUGCAAAUUGCCAGUAGGGAAAUCCUUGAUCUUUACCCCUAUUGAGAUUGUCAAAAGAUACCAAAAGCUGGAAUCUGUGCUUUAUGAAGUUAAUGUUUUCUGGAAAUUGCAGCAAUAUGAAAAGCAACCUUCCCGGCCCUUCUUUCAAUAGUUUUUGAGAG